rnacentral:rRNA from 1 species
GACGAACGCUGGCGGCGUGCCUAAUACAUGCAAGUAGAACGCUGAAGAGAGGAGCUUGCUCUUCUUGGAUGAGUUGCGAACGGGUGAGUAACGCGUAGGUAACCUGCCUUGUAGCGGGGGAUAACUAUUGGACACGAUAGCUAAUACCGCAUAACAAUGGAUGACACAUGUCAUUUAUGUGAAAGGGGCAAUUGCUCCACUACAAGAUGGACCUGCGUCGUAUUAGCUAGUAGGUGCGGUAAUGGCGCAUCUAGGCGACGAUACCUAGCCGACCUGAGAGGGUGAGCGGCCACCCUGGGAGGGAGACACGGCCCAGACGCCUACAGGAGGCAGCAGGAGUGAAACGGCGGCAAUGAGGGCAACACUGACCGCGAAACGCCGCGGGAGUGAGGAAGGUUUUCGGAUCGUAGAGCUCUGUUGUAAGUCAAGAACGGGGGUGAGAGUGGAAAGUUCACAGUGUGACGGUAGUUGAUAAGAAAGGGACGGCUAACUACGUG